CAACAGGAGUCAAUCCUGCCAGGGUAAUAGUCAGAAGCCCUGUAGCUUGGAUGGCAGAUAGGAGGGAAACCGAUUAUCUGAAGCCCAUCGACAAAGCAACUUUUAAGAGGUGUGAGCGAGUCACCGGGCCGUAACGAGA
rfam:Bacterium I07 isolate I07 NODE_2_length_38144_cov_121.395, whole genome shotgun sequence.